AAGACCCCGUGAACCUUUACUAUAGCUUGACACUGAACAUUGAGCCUUGAUGUGUAGGAUAGGUGGGAGGCUUUGAAGCGUGGACGCCAGUCUGCGUGGAGCCGACCUUGAAAUACCACCCUUUAAUGUUUGAUGUUCUAACGUGGACCCGUUACCCGGGUUGCGGACAGUGUCUGGUGGGUAGUUUGACUGGGGCGGUCUCCUCCUAAAGAGUAACGGAGGAGCACGAAGGUUGGCUAAUCCUGGUCGGACAUCAGGAGGUUAGUGCAAUGGCAUAAGCCAGCUUGACUGCGAGCGUGACGGCGCGAGCAGGUGCGAAAGCAGGUCAUAGUGAUCCGGUGGUUCUGAAUGGAAGGGCCAUCGCUCAACGGAUAAAAGGUACUCCGGGGAUAACAGGCUGAUACCGCCCAAGAGUUCAUAUCGACGGCGGUGUUUGGCACCUCGAUGUCGGCUCAUCACAUCCUGGGGCUGAAGUAGGUCCCAAGGGUAUGGCUGUUCGCCAUUUAAAGUGGUACGCGAGCUGGGUUUAGAACGUCGUGAGACAGUUCGGUCCCUAUCUGCCGUGGGCGCUGGAGAACUGAGGGGGGCUGCUCCUAGUACGAGAGGACCGGAGUGGACGCAUCACUGGUGUUCGGGUUGUCAUGCCAAUGGCACUGCCCGGUAGCUAAAUGCGGAAGAGAUAAGUGCUGAAAGCAUCUAAGCACGAAACUUGCCCCGAGAUGAGUUCUCCCUGAGACUUAGAGUCUCCUGAAGGAACGUUGAAGACGACGACGUUGAUAGGCCGGGUGUGUAAGCGCAGCGAUGCGUUGAGCUAACCGGUACUAAUGAACCGUGAGGCUUAACCUU
rnacentral:rRNA from 1 species